AGGACAUUGAUAACGAAGAUUGGGAGA
rnacentral:piRNA from 1 species